rnacentral:rRNA from 1 species
GACGAACGCUGGCGGCGUGCUUAACACAUGCAAGUCGAGCGGUAAGGCCCUUUCGGGGGUACACGAGCGGCGAACGGGUGAGUAACACGUGGGUGACCUGCCCUCAGCUCUGGGAUAAGCCUGGGAAACCGGGUCUAAUACUGGAUAUGACUCCAUGACGCAUGUUGUGGGGUGAAAGCCUUGUGCGGCUGAGGAUGGGCCCG